AGAGUUUGAUCCUGGCUCAGGACGAACGCUGGCGGCGUGCUUAACACAUGCAAGUCGAACGGAAAGGCCCUUCGGGGUACUCGAGUGGCGAACGGGUGAGUAACACGUGGGUGAUCUGCCCUGCACUUCGGGAUAAGCCUGGGAAACUGGGUCUAAUACCGGAUAGGACUACGAAUCGCAUGGUUUGUGGUGGAAAGCUUUUGCGGUGUGGGAUGGGCCCGCGGCCUAUCAGCUUGUUGGUGGGGUGAUGGCCUACCAAGGCGACGACGGGUAGCCGGCCUGAGAGGGUGUCCGGCCACACUGGGACUGAGAUACGGCCCAGACUCCUACGGGAGGCAGCAGUGGGGAAUAUUGCACAAUGGGCGCAAGCCUGAUGCAGCGACGCCGCGUGAGGGAUGACGGCCUUCGGGUUGUAAACCUCUUUCAGUAGGGACGAAGCGCAAGUGACGGUACCUAUAGAAGAAGCACCGGCCAACUACGUACCAGCAGCCGCGGUA
rnacentral:rRNA from 1 species